rnacentral:tRNA from 1 species
GGGUUGGCUCGCCUAUGGGUGUAGGGCAGCGGUCUGUAAAACCGCCGCUUAUAUGCGUUGUAGGUUCAAAUCCUACUCAACCCA